rnacentral:rRNA from 1 species
AGCUAAUAGAUACCCGGGUAGUCCACGCCCUAAACGAUGUCUACUAGUUGUUGGUGGAGUAAAAUCCAUGAGUAAACGCAGCUAAACGCGUGAAGUAGACCGCCUGGGGAGUACGGUCGCAAGAUUAAAAACUCAAAGGAAUUGACGGGGGCCCGCACAAGCGGUGGAUUAUGUGGAUUAAAUUCGAUGCAACGCGAAAAACCCUUACCUGGCCUUGACAUGCCACUAACGAAGCAGAGAUGCAUUAGGUGCCCGUAAGGGAAAGUGGACACAGGUGCUGCAUGGCUGUCGUCAGCUCGUGUCGUGAGAUGUUGGGUUAAGUCCCGCAACGAGCGCAACCCUUGCCAUUAAUUGCCAUCAUUUAGUUGGGCACUUUAAUGGGACUGCCGGUGAC